UUGUGGGGAGAUAGGACAACAAGCCCUGAGCUUUAACACACACAGUUACACAAAUGUACAACAUGGAGCUAGAUUAAGUCCCAGAGGAAAUGGCAAAGAUUCAAAAUCUAGGACGGAAAAAGCACUUGUUCAGUAAGUGUUUGAAAAGUGGGCUAGAGAAGCCUUUUUGACUUCUGCUUUCCUCUCAAAGACCUGUAGGAGUGGAUCCUCUAGAAGAUGCCUUCCACCUCAUUAUUCUCAACACCCAAAGCAGCCCUCCUCCUUGUUUCUUUCAUUCCUGCCCCAGGCUGGACUCUGGACACAGCACGCAGGAUGAUUUCAGAGAGGUCUGGAGAGACUUAUAUAAACUGAUGCUAAAUGAAGUGAGUAGAACCAAGAGAACAUUGCACGUAUCAUCAACAAGACUAUACAAAAAGCAAUUCUGAUGCACGUGGCUCUCUUCAACAAUGAGAUGAUUCAGACCAGUUCCAAUGGUUUUGUGAUGAAGAAAGCCAUCUACACCCAGAGAGAGGACUGUGGACACUGAAUGUGGAUCACAACAGAAUAUUUUUUGUUGUUGCUGCUGCUUGCUUGCUUGCUUGUUUGUCUUUUCUCUCAUUUAUUUUUGAUCUGAUUUUUCUUGUGCAGAAUAAUAAAUGUGGAAAUAUGUUUUAAAGAACUACAUAUAUUUAACCUAUUGGAUUACUUACUGUCUAGGGAGUAGGGAGGGAGAAAAGGAAGGUUAAAAAAUAUGAGCACAAGGUUUUGCAAAGAUGAAUGCUGAAAACUAUCUUUGCAUGUAUCUGCAAAAAUAAAAACUAUUAUUAAGGGAGAAAAAAGAA